AGUUUGAUCCUGGCUCAGAUUGAACGCUGGCGGCAUGCCUUACACAUGCAAGUCGAGCGGCAGCGCGGGGGCAACCCUGGCGGCGAGCGGCGAACGGGUGAGUAAUGCAUCGGAACGUGUCCUCUUGUGGGGGAUAACCAGUCGAAAGACUGGCUAAUACCGCAUGAGAUCGAGAGAUGAAAGCAGGGGACCGCAAGGCCUUGCGCGAGAGGAGCGGCCGAUGCCGGAUUAGCUAGUUGGUGGGGUAAUGGCCUACCAAGGCGACGAUCCGUAGCUGGUCUGAGAGGACGACCAGCCACACUGGGACUGAGACACGGCCCAGACUCCUACGGGAGGCAGCAGUGGGGAAUUUUGGACAAUGGGGGCAACCCUGAUCCAGCCAUGCCGCGUGUGUGAAGAAGGCCUUCGGG
rnacentral:rRNA from 1 species